ensembl:lncRNA
UUUUUUCAGUAAUAUAAAAUUAAUGCAUGAAAUCAGCAGCCUUAUUGCAAUAUUACAUUAAGAGUCUUCAGUGAUCUACUCACAGUCUGUACAGUUUAUAUUAGUGGAGUGUUAAACGUGUGAGAAAGUGUGUGUUUCUUUCUUCAGGUCUGUUGUGCUGAAAAGUUCGAGAAAGGAUUCAUCAAAUGAUGUGAAUCCAUUAAAUGUGAUGUCAGAAAGAUCAAGACAUUAUUUAUAAAGAGAGAAAUGCUGCAGGUUAAUGGAACUGGACAGAAAGUGCAGGACAAAGACAAUUUAUGCUUU